CAGCCCCAAUCAAACGUUGUCCUUUAUAAGAGUUGCCUUGGUCAUGGUGUCUGCUCACAGCAGUAAAACCCUAACUAAGAAGUUGGCACGAGGGACUGGGGUAUUGCUGAGGUAGGCCUGCUUAUGCUUUUGUUUGGAAGAAUGUGGAUUUGGAAAGCCAUGGAAUGCUUUAAGUGGAGUGCUUUAAGAUAGGCAUGCUAGUAGGAAUGUGGAAGACUUUGUUGCUGAGGGUGAUUUGAACUGUGGAAACCUGGUUCUAGAGGUUUCAGAGGAGAAGGAUUGUAGUAAUGCUUAGCCGAGAGACUGUUUUUGUGAUAUUUUGGUGAAAAUGUGGCUGCUUUUUGCCCUUGUCUGAGGAGUCUACCUGAGGCUAAGAUAGAUUUGUAUUAAUUGCAUUGACAAAGGAACUCUCAAAAAAAAAAAAAAAAAAAAAAAAAAAAAGCCCAGAUAGGGGCUGGAGAGAUGGCUCAGCGGUUUAGAGCAUUGUGUGCUCUUCCAGAGGUCCUGAGUUCAAUUCCCAGCAACCACAUGGUUCACAACCAUCUGUAAUAGAAUCCAAUGCCCUCUUCUGGUGUGUCUGAAGACAGCUACAGUGUACUCAUAAAUAAUUCUUAAAAAAAAAAAAAAAAAAAAAAAAAAAGCCCAAACAGAGACAUUUUUCCUCAUGGAGAGCAUUUUGGUUCUUUUUUUUUUUUUUUUUUUUUUUCCGGAGCUGGGGACCGAACCCAGGGCCUUGCGCUUCCUAGGUAAGCGCUCUACCACUGAGCUAAAUCCCCAGCCCCAUGGAGAGCAUUUUGAAUGUGCAUAGCAAGCUUAGAAAGGAAAAAUAUAAAAUAUUUGGUUCAUAUAUUAAAGGGGCACCAGGAAGUGAAACGGAGCUGAAUCCUGUGUUCUAGGAGAUGACAGAUAAAGGGAGAGGGGCUUUGGAGCAGGAUCCUACCCAACUAAAUUUAGAUCCAGGCAUGGUGGCACACACCUUUAAUUCCAGGAGACAAAGCCAAGCCAAUCUCUGAGUUCAAGGCCAGCCUGGGACAGAACAAGUUCUAGGUGAAAAAAAGCUUAAGUCCAGGCAUGGUGGUACAUACCUGUAAUCCCAGGAGACAGGCAUGCAGACCUCAGAGUUCAAAGUUAGUCAACAGAGCAAGUUCGAGGACAGCCAAGCUUAGGUGGUGAAGGGGUUGGACAACAGAAAGCUCUGGUGAUAAUGUAAUAGAACAAGGGGGCCAUGUUCCAGCCCUAGCAAGCAGCAGAACUCAGCAGCUUCGGCCAUGUGGCCCUGACUUUAGAGUGAAAAAUGAAAGGAACGACUGGGACAAUUGAUGCUGGUCAGAGGGAGCUAAGAAAUUAGGAGAGGUUAAGGAGAGACCAGCAUUACUGAGUCGGAAUCUUCUGGGAAGUGUUUCCUAAGAGAACAAAGAAGCUGUGUUUCAGUGUUAGCCAAGGUUGUACCUUAUGCUGCAGCUGUACUUGCUAAUGGCUGAGAGUCACCCAGGUGGUACUGGUUGUGAAAACAUGAAAGGGUCAUGAAGCACAGCUGAGGCCUGGUGCUGUGAGAGAGCAUGGAAGGCCCUCGGUGAAGGUGCAGCCUCAGUUGUAGUUGAUGGCCCAGGACAGAAGAGGUCAUGCAAAGGAUUCGAGGCUUGGCACCAUGAAGAGAGCCUGUGAGAGGCUAUUGGUGAAGCCUAGUUGCAACAGAAGACUGGAGAGGCCAGCACCAUGGGAUGAUCACCAAGAACAGCAGUGGCAGUGGAGUGGAUCCACCUGAGCUUAGAGCGCUAUAGAGGGCAGAGCUGCAGAAGCAAUGCCAGCUCCUUUGGAGGAGCCCAGCUCGUGUGUGAAUCCCAGGCAUUGAAACAAGAAGCCAUAACAUUGAAGUUGCCCCAGAGACCCCAAGAUAUUGGAGAUGCCAGCACUGUGGGCUGUCUGCGGAGCAAAGCUGCUAACAGAGAGUAGAACCAGCCCAGUAGAACUUUGUUGAAAUCAACAAAGAUGAAAAGGGAGUUGGAAAUCUGAAGACCACUUUGACAUCAGACAUGGAGGUGUGUAGAGUUUGCCACUGUGCCUGCCUAUCUGGACGCUGCCCUGCUCCCACUAUGAUGAUAAUGGACUGAACUUCUGAACCAGUAAGCCGGCCCCAAUUAAAUGUUAUCCUUAUAAGACUUGUCUUGGUCAUGGUGUCUGUUCACAGCAAUAAAACCCUAACUACUAAGACGGGGUGUGUGUGUUGUAUGUAUAAUAAAACUAUAUGUAUAAAAUAUAUAUGCAUAUAUAAAAUCUAUAUAUGUGUAUAUAGUUUUGUUACUAGUGUAUAAAGAAUAUACAUAUAUAUUUGGAGACAGGUUCUCAUAUAGCUGAGGCUGGCCUUGAACUCCUCAGCCUCUACCCUCUCCUUUCCAAGUGCAAGGAUUGGUGUGCACUACCUUACCCAGCCAGCAAAUCAAUUUUCUUGUCAAUUUUCUUCACUGCAGAAAGUUUGAAAGCUGAUAGAUAAGUCAGGUUUGAAAACACACACACACACACACACACACACACACACACACACCACCCUGCUGGGUAAUACAGGUUCUAUAGUAAACAGAAAACAGCCCCUGUGUCUUGUCCCCUGCCUGCAAGGUCCUGAAGCAUAUGACUAUCUCUGGCCCAAAUGAUAAACCUGAUAUCUAGGCCAUGUGACCCAGCUAGGCGGUGCCACCCCAGGGUGGCUUCUCUGGUUAGGCUAAGCAACACUCUAGGAUACUGGCCAUGGGCACUCGGUCACUCCAUGUGACCCACAAAUGCUGUGAUAUCAGGGAGCUGUGUGGGUCAUCUCCAGGGUGUGAACACACACGACUGUGCACCAUGGUUCCGUCUGGGGGUGGGUGUGCCCUGCACUGUGGUUCUUGUUUACAUCUGUGUGUAUUUCCGUCUACACAAUAGGCCAGUGUGUUUCGGAAUGUGCCCACAGUCACUCACUUGCUGGGGUGGGGUGGACUAUAAGAGCAUGGAGGGGGUGGUGGGGAGAACACUGGGUGCUUUAAGGUCCUUUGGGAUAAGUUAAUGGUCACGGCUGCUAAAUCCCCAAGAGAACUAAAAAUUAAAUGCCACAUGACAAUGCUAAAAUGCCUCUCUGUCUGUUUCUCUCUCUCUGUCUCUCUCUCUCUUUUUGUCUCUCUCUCUGUCUCUCUCUUUCUCUCUCUCUCUCUCUCUCUCUCUCCCUCUCUCUCUCUCUCUCUCUGUGUGUGUGUGUGUGUGUGUGUGUGUGUGUGUGUGUGUGUGUAUGUCCAUAGCUGACCACAAAUUCUCAAUGCAAGCCAGACACUUCUUCAUUCUCCUGCCUCAGCCUUCUGAAUCCAGGGAUCACAGACAUGAGUUCCAGUGACAGCUCCCUUUUUUUUUUUUUUUCAUUCUCUUUCUACCCCUGUUUCCUGGGAGCCUUCUCUAUGCCUCAUGCUGCUGCUGACAGAGUUGACAGUCUCCCAGACGCCCUGACGUGCUCACCCUCUGGUGUCCAUUCCAGCAUGAAGUGAAGGGCCAUGGCUCCCAAAGCUGAGUUACAAGGCUGCAGCUCUGCCCUGGCCAGCAAACAGCUGCUGAACCCUACAGUCCUGGGAGAGGACCUCGUCAGAGAGGGCCAUGGAUUGCUGGUUCUUCAUGAAUAAACUUGGACACAUCUCCACCCAAGCUGUCCUUGAGAGGGCCACAGUCCUAGGGGGACUCACACGCCUUAGAGAUAAAUACUUGCUUGUGCGAGCUGCGAAAUUUGGGGUUGGAUUUGUAACACGGUAAUGGAAAGCUACAUCAGAGUUCCGUCUGGACGGAAUUGACUGAGCUCUGAGAGGAACCGAAAAGGAGAUAGAUGACUUGCAAGAACACUCAUCCUUAAGGUCAACCCAGUGUGCCAGUCAGCGGCAAGCAUCGUGGAAAAGGCCUGGUUCAAUUCCCGGAAGCCAUAGUGGAAGGAAAGAACUGACCCUGGGAGCUGUCCCCUGACCCUCACGUAUCCCAUAGCCUGGACCAUGGAGGCGUCUGGAAAUUGAGCAGAGCCAGCCAGUCUCGGGUGAACAAUCAGCAGCCCCGACGCGGAGCUCCGCCGAGACAGCGGCAGACGCGGGGGUGGCGCGGGGGCCGGGCGGUGCGCACCAGGGUUGCCAUGGCCCCGGCCCCGCUGCACGUGCCGCGGCUUCCCGGGGAGUUCCCGUGAUGGCCUCAAAAGGCGGGCGAAUGCUGAGCUUGGCAUGUCCGAGAAGGGCCCUGGAUCCGUGGCGGGGACCCUCGUCCCUUGGGCAGCGCCACCGCCCAGCCCCGGUCACGCCUCGGAAGGCGCCAGGUCUCAGCCGGGCGCGUCAGGGCCCGACGCCCUCAAGGGUCCACUGCGGCUGCCAGAGCGCCGGAGUUUGGAGCUGGAUGGGGCGGGGACCAGGACCUCUGAGCCCUGCGCCCCCUACCGCAGAGGUCUGUCUGCUCAUGAGUGUGACAACUUACUGUGGGACCUACAUGAAGACCCCCAGACACUUGAUCAACUAUGAGUUGGCAACGAGGCGGGCGUGCAUUGAGGGGUGGAGGGAUCCCAGAACCCAGCAACCUCAACUACAGUCUUCUGCACAGAACUGGGUCUGUUCUAAAGGGUUUCUGGAGGCUGGCUUAUUCUCCUGUCUCAAGAGGAUAGGACGUGGAAUGCUUGAUCCUGGCAUUCUGUCCAGGGGUACACAGAGCCUACGGCUGGACCAAUUCAUUGUGUCUCGCUGAUGAGGAAACUGAGGCCCCGACUGGGGGUGGGGGUGGGGCGCUGAUUUAUUCGAGUCUUUAGUGUAACUAACAUGUUUCGAUUAGUGUCCUCCUGCCUUUGUCUUGAAUUGCUGUCUCCUUUCUUACACUCCAUAGCCCACCUUGCAUUAAAUCAGAAGUGCCCUGAGGCUGAGGACACCCAGACUUUGCCAAGACUAAAUUAGAAAAAAAGUCUGAAAAAAAAAAAAACCACCAAAGGUUUCUAAUAAAAGCCAUCCUCUUGGGCCAGCUUGCCCGCUGACACCCCCUCUCACCUGCACAACCUUGCUUGACAUUUGCAGCUUGGCAGCUCCGUCCAUACACACAAUGACACUUUCUUUGGCGUCCAGAGGAAGAAAUGCCCAGGGACCUGAUGUGACCUUACUCCAGUAGGGCCCUUCUUUCUGUUCUCAGAAUAGCUGCACCGAACCAGCUCGGGAGGCCCCUGUGGUAUCUCCUGACAGACUUGGUGUCGCCAAGAGGACCCACUCCUAAGGGCCAUUCAUCCGUGCUACAUUAUGAGGGUCUUCAGGCAGGCGACUGUGCUCUUGUGUCGAGCCACAGAGCCUUUCCUCACCCUCUAGCCCCUUAGAGACGGGGUCUCCUGUAGCCAAGGCUGGCUUUAAAUUCCCUGUGUACUCAAGGACGACCAUGAACCCCUUCACUUCUCAAGCGACACCAUGCCCCGUUUAUGGGAUGCUGGGGUUUGAGCCCAAGGCUUUGUUUGUGUUAGGGGAGCACUAGCUCAACUGAACUACAUCCCUAGUCCCAUUAUUAACCUCUUUUUUGGCCGAAGCCCAAAACAUCUCUUCAUCACGGCUUACAAGAAUCCUGCUGCCUACUCCAGGGUAAUGGUGGCACAGGCCUUUGAUCCCAGCACUUGGGAGGCAGAGGCAGGCACAUCUCUGAGUCUGAGGCCUGCCUGGUUUUCAGAUUGAGUUCCAGGACAGUCAAGGCUACACAGGGAAACUCUGUCAAAGUAAAACAAAACACAAAAGCAAAGACAACCAAACCCCACUUCAAAAGAAAAUCCUAACACUCAACUUGCAACAGCCAUGUUUUUCCUCUCCCUUACAAGAGAUGCUUACCAUGUGGAGAUGCCCCCACAGAAUGGAAGGAGAGACAUGAGUCCUAUAAGUUGUCCUCUGAUUUCCAUGUGCAUAUGGUAUCACACACACACACACACACACACACACACACACACACACACACACACAUUAAUUAAUUUAAUUAAAUCUGAAAUGCCCCGUGUUGGAAGGUAGAGACGAGAAGGGGUGAUGUUACUGUUUUUCCUUACUGUCUCAUGCCUCUAGAUGACUUCCUUUCUUUCCUUCUUUCUUGUUUUAAGAUUUAACUGUGGGGCUGGAGAGAUGGCUCAGUGGUUAAGAGCACUGACUGUUCUUCCAGAGGUCCUGAGUUCAAACCCCAGCAACCACACGGUGGCUCGCAACCAUCUGUCAUGAGAUCUGAGGCUCUCUUCUGGUGUGUCUGAAGAUAGCAACAGUGUACUCAUAUAGAAUAAAUAAAUAAAUAUUUGAAAAAAG